rnacentral:rRNA from 1 species
AUUGAACGCUGGCGGCAUGCCUUACACAUGCAAGUCGAACGGUAACGGGCCUUCGGGUGCCGACGAGUGGCGAACGGGUGAGUAAUACAUCGGAACGUGCCCGAUCGUGGGGGAUAACGAGGCGAAAGCUUUGCUAAUACCGCAUACGAUCUACGGAUGAAAGCAGGGGACCGCAAGGCCUUGCGCGGACGGAGCGGCCGAUGGCAGAUUAGGUAGUUGGUGGGAUAAAAGCUUACCAAGCCGACGAUCUGUAGCUGGUCUGAGAGGAUGAUCAGCCACACUGGGACUGAGACACGGCCCAGACUCCUACGGGAGGCAGCAGUGGGGAAUUUUGGACAAUGGGCGCAAGCCUGAUCCAGCCAUGCCGCGUGCAGGAUGAAGGCCUUCGGGUUGUAAACUGCUUUUGUACGGGACGAAAAGCCUUCUUUUAAUACAGGAGGGUCAUGACGGUACCGUAAGAAUAAGCACCGGCUAACUACGUG